GCCUAACACAUGCAAGUCGAACGGCAGCACAGGAGAGCUUGCUCUCUGGGUGGCGAGUGGCGGACGGGUGAGUGAAUACAUCGGAAUCUACUUUUUCGUGGGGGAUAACGUAGGGAAACUUACGCUAAUACCGCAUACGACCUACGGGUGAAAGCAGGGGAUCUUCGGACCUUGCGCGAUUGAAUGAGCCGAUGUCGGAUUAGCUAGUUGGCGGGGUAAAGGCCCACCAAGGCGACGAUCCGUAGCUGGUCUGAGAGGAUGAUCAGCCACACUGGAACUGAGACACAGGUCCAGACUCCUACGGGAGGCAGCAGUGGGGAAUAUUGGACAAUGGGCGCAAGCCUGAUCCAGCCAUACCGCGUGGGUGAAGAAGGCCUUCGGGAUUGUAAAGCCCUUUNGUUGGGAAAGAAAUCCAGCUGGCUAAUACCCGGUNUGGGAUGACGAGUACCCAAAGAAUAAGCACCGGCUAACUNCGUGCCAGCAGCCGCGGUAAUACGAAGGGUGCAAGCGUU
rnacentral:rRNA from 1 species